rnacentral:rRNA from 1 species
GGAACGGUCUGGAAAGUCCGACGGUACAGGGUGAUAGUCCCGUACACCAAAAUGCACAGGCUGUGAACUCGAAGAGUAGGGCGGGACACGUGGUAUCCUGUCUGAAUAUGGGGGGACCAUCCUCCAAGGCUAAAUACUCCUGACUGACCGAUAGUGAACCAGUACCGUGAGGGAAAGGCGAAAAGAACCCCGGCGAGGGGAGUGAAAAAGAACCUGAAACCGUGUACGUACAAGCAGUGGGAGCACCCUUUGGGGUGUGACUGCGUACCUUUUGUAUAAUGGGUCAGCGACUUAUAUUCUGUAGCAAGGUUAACCGUAUAGGGGAGCCGCAGGGAAACCGAGUCUUAACUGGGCGUUAAGUUGCAGGGUAUAGACCCGAAACCCGGUGAUCUAGCCAUGGGCAGGUUGAAGGUUGGGUAACACUAACUGGAGGACCGAACCGACUAAUGUUGAAAAAUUAGCGGAUGACUUGUGGCUGGGGGUGAAAGGCCAAUCAAACCGGGAGAUAGCUGGUUCUCCCCGAAAGCUAUUUAGGUAGCGCCUCGUGAACUCAUCUUCGGGGGUAGAGCACUGUUUCGGCUAGGGGGUCAUCCCGACUUACCAACCCGAUGCAAACUACGAAUACCGAAGAAUGUUAUCACGGGAGACACACGGCGGGUGCUAACGUCCGUCGUGAAGAGGGAAACAACCCAGACCGCCAGCUAAGGUCCCAAAGUCACAGUUAAGUGGGAAACGAUGUGGGAAGGCACAGACAGCCAGGAUGUUGGCUUAGAAGCAGCCAUCAUUUAAAGAAAGCGUAAUAGCUCACUGGUCGAGUCGGCCUGCGCGGAAGAUGUAACGGGGCUAAACUGUGCACCGAAGCUGCGGCAGCGACACUAUGUGUUGUUGGGUAGGGGAGCGUUCUGUAAGCCUGCGAAGGUGGCCUGUGAGGGUUGCUGGAGGUAUCAGAAGUGCGAAUGCUGACAUAAGUAACGAUAAUGCGGGUGAAAAGCCCGCACGCCGGAAGACCAAGGGUUCCUGUCCAACGUUAAUCGGGGCAGGGUGAGUCGACCCCUAAGGCGAGGCCGAAAGGCGUAGUCGAUGGGAAACAGGUUAAUAUUCCUGUACUUGGUGUUACUGCGAAGGGGGGACGGAGAAGGCUAUGUUAGCCGGGCGACGGUUGUCCCGGUUUAAGCAUGUAGGCGGAGGU